GAAUAUUGGACAAUGGGCGCAAGCCUGAUCCAGCCAUGCCGCGUGUGUGAAGAAGGCCUUCGGGUUGUAAAGCACUUUCAGCGAGGAGGAAGGGUGUUGUGUUAAUAGCACAGCAUUUUGACGUUACUCGCAGAAGAAGCACCGGCUAACUCCGUGCCACCCGCCGCGGUAAUACGUAGGGUGCAAGCGUUAAUCGGAAUUACUGGGCGUAAAGCGUACGCAGGCGGCUUUGCAAGACAGGUGUGAAAUCCCCGGGCCUAACCUGGGAACUGCAUUUGUGACUGCAUGGCUAGAGUUUGUCAGAGGGGGGUGGAAUUCCACGUGUAGCAGUGAAAUGCGUAGAGAUGUGGAAGAACACCGAUGGCGAAGGCAGCCCCCUGGGAUGUGACUGACGCUCAUGUACGAAAGCGUGGGGAGCAAACAGG
rnacentral:rRNA from 1 species